AAUCUAUGGUGUGGAAAGUCUCGUUGGAAAAACUUGAAUCUGAUCCACGCAUCUUUGAAAGACUCUCCAGUCUCAUGCUUGAAUCUAGCGAUUUUGCUCCUCAAGUCU
rfam:Brassica napus, WGS project CCCW01000000 data, contig: 26423